rnacentral:lncRNA from 1 species
GCAUUGUUUUUUUUGCUAAAAGAAUCGUUCUAUAGAAUUAAUCGAGCGCGAUUCUUCUCAUUUAUUUUCAUUUUUUGCUCGUGGAAGCUUCUAGUUUCAGUUUUAUCGUGCAGAUACGUUGGACGAGUCGAGUUACCUUAAAUUGUAACUAGUCAUGGGGAACUUUAUCUGUGGUGUAAUUGGAGUUUCUGCUGCCGUGGCUGUUCCUAUACUGGAAUCUUUUGGCCUCACUGAUCAAGCAUUCGGAUCUGCCGCCGUUGCGAGAUCACUGGGAUGUGGAAUGAUAGUAGAUGCUUUUAGUUCAACAAACGGUGGUAUGAGGGCGAUUAGAAUGGAUCAUAAUAAUCAUUCAUGAUAUUCUGGUAAGCUCAGUCCCCUGUUACCCAGUCAUUGUCUGUUGAUAAGUGCCCAUAUGGAUAUUACAAAAUUUAACCACAUGCAGUUAGAUAAAUAAUUAUAUGUGUUAAUUAAUGUAUUAAAUUAAUAAAAAAAUAAAAAAACAAUGGGCUAGUCCGUUUCAAGACCUCAUUA